rnacentral:piRNA from 1 species
UCUGGUGGCACUGGUCGACGUGA